GGUGGGAACUGAGCACCCAUGGAGUCAGCAGAGAAGCAGGAUGGGCAGGGGUGGGUUGAGACUGUGCUGUCUCUGCUGUUUGCUAAGGUUGUUCUCAUGGUAUCAUGCUGCCAGAGACUGUUCACUUGGCUCACAUUGAUGGAGGUCAGCUAAGGACAGGCUGAUUAGCUGGCCCCUCAGGGCCUUUCUCUUGGUGACACAGCCUCUGGCUCAGAACAAAGGCCCCUCAUUUUGCCGAGGCACAGACUCUUGAACGUGAGAGUGCUGCCACCUGCUGGUCACAGCGCUGCUUCCAGAAGGGGAGCUGGAGCCUCAGGAGGGAGACUGGGCCAUGAGCCCAGGUCUGUAGCCUCUCUGUGGGCCACAGCACCACCUCCCAGCAUGCCCUGGGCCAGACAGCUGAGGAAAAGAAGCUGGGGACCCCCCUAACAGUAAUUUGGGGAAAUAAAAGGUCUUGAAGGUUACACAGAGAUUUGUGCACUGCUGAUCUUAAUUUUAUGCUUGCCGUCAUAAAACCAGUUUAUGCUUAUACAACUAAAGGGGGAAGACAUGCAUCCAAU
rnacentral:lncRNA from 1 species